GUGGGGAAUCUUGCGCAAUGGGCGAAAGCCUGACGCAGCCAUGCCGCGUGAAUGAUGAAGGUCUUAGGAUUGUAAAAUUCUUUCACCGGGGACGAUAAUGACGGUACCCGGAGAAGAAGCUCCGGCUAACUUCGUGCCAGCAGCCGCGGUAAUACGAAGGGGGCUAGCGUUGCUCGGAAUUACUGGGCGUAAAGGGCGCGUAGGCGGACAGCUUAGUCAGAGGUGAAAGCCCAGGGCUCAACCUUGGAAUUGCCUUUGAUACUGGCUGUCUUGAGUUUGGGAGAGGUGAGUGGAACUCCGAGUGUAGAGGUGAAAUUCGUAGAUAUUCGGAAGAGCACCAGUGGCGAAGGCGACUCACUGGCCCAAUACUGACGCUGAGGCGCGAAAGCGUGGGGAGCAAACAGGAUUAGAAACCCUAGUAGUCC
rnacentral:rRNA from 1 species